UGAACGCUGGCGGCGUGCUUAACACAUGCAAGUCGAACGAGAAAGGGAUUGCUUGCAAUCCUGAGUAGAGUGGCGCACGGGUGAGUAACACGUAGAUAAUCUACCUUCAAGCCUGGGAUAACUGUCCGAAAGGACAGCUAAUACCGGAUAAAGUUAAUUAACAUAAGUUAAUUGAUGAAGGAUUGCCUAUUCUUGAAAGCAAUUGUUUGGAGAUGAGUUUGCGGACCAUUAGUUUGUUGGCGGGGUAACGGCCCACCAAGACUACGAUGGUUAGCUGGUCUGAGAGGAUGAUCAGCCACACUGGAACUGGUACACGGUCCAGACUCCUACGGGAGGCAGCAGUGAGGAAUUUUGCGCAAUGGGGGAAACCCUGACGCAGCAACGCCGCGUGAGUGAAGAAGGCCCUUGGGUCGUAAAGCUCUGUCGACAGGGAAGAAAUUGCAGAUAUCCAAUAGGUAUCUGCAUUGACGGUACCUGUAGAGGAAGCACCGGCUAACUCC
rnacentral:rRNA from 1 species